GGUUAUGGCUCAGUGGUAGAGUGCUUGCCUAGCAUGUGUGAGGCACUGGGUUUGAUCCUCAGCACCA
rnacentral:tRNA from 1 species